UGGGGAAUAUUGCACAAUGGGCGCAAGCCUGAUGCAGCCAUGCCGCGUGUGUGAAGAAGGCCUUCGGGUUGUAAAGCACUUUCAGCGAGGAGGAAGGUGGUGAGCUUAAUACGCUCAUCAAUUGACGUUACUCGCAGAAGAAGCACCGGCUAACUCCGUGCCAGCAGCCGCGGUAAUACGGAGGGUGCAAGCGUUAAUCGGAAUUACUGGGCGUAAAGCGCACGCAGGCGGUUUGUUAAGUCAGAUGUGAAAUCCCCGGGCUCAACCUGGGAACUGCAUUUGAAACUGGCAAGCUAGAGUCUCGUAGAGGGGGGUAGAAUUCCAGGUGUAGCGGUGAAAUGCGUAGAGAUCUGGAGGAAUACCGGUGGCGAAGGCGGCCCCCUGGACGAAGACUGACGCUCAGGUGCGAAAGCGUGGGGCAGCAAACAGGAUUAGAUACCCUGGUAGUCCAGCGCUGUAAAACGAUGUCGAUUUUGGAGGUUGUGCCCUUGAGGCGUGGCUUCCGGAGCUAACGCGUUAAAUCGACCGCCUGGGGAGUACGGCCGCAAGGUUAAAACUCAAAGGAAUUGACGGGGUC
rnacentral:rRNA from 1 species